rnacentral:rRNA from 1 species
GAUGAACGCUGGCGGCGUGCUUAACACAUGCAAGUCGAACGGAAAGGCCCUGCUUUUGUUGGGCGCUCGAGUGGCGAACGGGUGAGUAACACGUGAGUAACCUGCCCCUGACUUUGGGAUAACUUCAGGAAACUGGGGCUAAUACCGGAUAUGAGCUCCUGCUGCAUGUUGGGGGUUGGAAAGUUUCGGCGGUUGGGGAUGGACUCGCGGCUUAUCAGCUUGUUGGUGGGGUAGGGGCUUACCAAGGCUUUGACGGGUAGCCGGCCUGAGAGGGUGACCGGCCACAUUGGGACUGAGAUACGGCCCAGACUCCUACGGGAGGCAGAAGUGGGGAAUAUUGCACAAUGGGCGGAAGCCUGAUGCAGCAACGCCGCGUGCGGGAUGACGGCCUUCGGGUUGUAAACCGCUUUCGCCUGUGACGAAGCGUGAGUGACGGUAAUGGGUAAAGAAGCACCGGCUAACUACGUG